rnacentral:rRNA from 1 species
CACGUAGGGCGCAAGCGUUGUCCGGAAUUAUUGGGCGUAAAGAGCUCGUAGGCGGUCUGUUGCGUCCGCUGUGAAAACUCGGGGCUUAACCCCGAGCCUGCAGUGGAUACGGGCAGACUAGAGGUAGGUAGGGGAGAAUGGAAUUCCCGGUGUAGCGGUGAAAUGCGCAGAUAUCGGGAGGAACACCGGUGGCGAAGGCGGGUCUCUGGGCCGGUACCGACGCUGAGGAGCGAAAGCGUGGGGAGCGAACAGG